CUUAAAAACCCCAAACAAACAAACCACCAGUGAGUGAGGAAAAAUUGAUCUUGGCUGACUUUACAUACAUUAUUUCUAAAUUUCAGAUUUCCAAAAGCCCCAAACCUCUUGACUGGGAAACAAAUAAAUAAUUUGCCGGUUCUACUGAUGGUACAUGAACAGGGAUGAGCUUUGCUCCUGCAGGUCUCCCCUCCAGCUGUCUCAUGCUAUUAUUGUCUUUUCUGAGCUGACUGCUCCUUCUCUCCCAAACUAUCGAUUUCUCCUGAAGCAGCCAGCUCUUCAGGAGUUUUUUCCUGUCUCCAGGCAGGUGCACAGCAUUGCCAACCUAUAAGUCUGGCAGUCAACCUGGAAAACAGGGUACGGGGCUAGAGUUAGAGAUCUAGAACACCUCCAUCCCCAGGUUGCUGUUGUCUUUUGACAGGCUCUCUAUGAAGAGUGAGCAAUAGAAAUAUGUGGGAAUCAAGGGAAAACAUAUUUUAAAAAAUAUAAGUGCUUCACUGAAAGCAGAAGAACUGAGAGGCUUAAUUGAGAUACUUUUGGUUUUGCUUCUGAAGUAUCUGGUUAUUUUUCUUUUAGAAGAAAACACAAAAUGUAUUCAAAAUGGCAAACAUUUUCCAUGUAUGCUUUUAAAGCACAGCCCCUUUUCUGUCCUUUUUCUGUAAGCACAGUGAUUGUUCAUAAUAGCUUGCCCAUGUUCCUAAGGUUAAUAGAUAAAAUAGAUAAGAGAUAAUAGUGUUCCGUGUAGCAGUGCUUUAGGGAAUUCUGUGAAUAUUGAGGUAAUUGGAGAAGUCUGUAACAGGGAACGGGGGGUCACUGAAGAGAAGUCAAGGUAAGAUUAGAAAAGCUGAGCUGCAGAUCUCAGGAAUACUUGAUAAAGGUCAGAACUAGAGGCCACCAGAUCACUUUCUCUUGAAAUACAGAGUCAAAUAAAAAAAGGAGAGGUAGGACUAGAGCAGCACCCAUUAUUUCUGACAUCUAAUUAUUGUAUACAUAUUGUUAUUUUAAUAGGAUUAGCCAGCAGUAAUGGUAAAGCAGAAGUCCCUUCCCUUUAUAUACCUGAGAGAUUAGUCUGCCUACCAGCAGUGUAGUGGCAUGCUUAGAGAUGGGCAUAAACGAUGAUGGAUUGGUUAAGAAAUAACUUUGAAGGUUUCCUUAUCUCUUUGUACAAUUAGGUUCAACUUUGAACAAGCUGUUAAUGGCAGGUGGUGGUGAGCCAGCUGCAAGAACAAGUUUGAAUUAUGCUAGAAAUGGACGGCCAGUAUUUACAUGAAGAAUGUUUGGAAUUUGGAGGGUCAUUAUUUUUAAUCCAGGAUUACUAGGAGUGUAGAGAAGGAAAAUGAAACAAUGUGAUGUGUGUCUAUGAUGAAUUCCUGUCAGAGAAGGAGAAAGCAUGAAGAUAAUUAUUUUAAAAAGUAAUUAGAAGAUAUUGGAAACUGGAUGCAUAAGAUAGGAGCAAUAGAAUCAGCAGAGCAGCAAACGUGCUGGGACAUUGUGGAACAGCCCAGAAAGUGCCUGAGACAGAUGCAGAGCUCACAGAUUUUCACAAAACUGUGUUGAUUGCUACCCUGUUGGUAUCAUCUGACUUACGAAGAUUCCCAGCAGCUGACAGUCAAGCCUUCGGUGGUUUUCUCACAAUAGUUCUGCAUAA